AGAACGAACGCUGGCGGCAGGCCUCAAACAUGCAAGUCUAGGGGGCGUAGCAAUACGUCACCGGCGGACGGGUGCGUAACACGUGGGAAUGUACUUACUGGUUCGGAACAACUCAGGGAAACUUGAGCUAAUACCGAAUGUGCCCGAAAGGGGAAAGAUUUAUCGCCAGUAAAUCAGCCCGCGUCCGAUUAGCUAGUUGGUGGGGUAAAGGCCCACCAAGGCGACGAUCGGUAGCUGUUCUGAGAGGAAGAUCAGCCACACUGGGACUGAGACACGGCCCCAGACUCCUACGGGAGGCAGCAGUUGGGAAUCUUGGACAAUGGGGGAAACCCUGAUCCAGCCAUGCCGCGUGAGUGAUGAAGGCCUUCGGGUUGUAAAACUCUUUCGACGGGGACGAUAAUGACGGUACCCGUAGAAGAAGCUCCGGCUAACUUCGUGCCAGCAGCCGC
rnacentral:rRNA from 1 species